GGGGGCGUAACGGGUUCGACGGGGAACAGGACCACUGGUAAGCGAGUAGCAGUGUGGAGCUGCUUUAAAAUCCACAACUUUUAAAUUAAACGCAAAUAAUCAAGAAUUAGCAGCUGCCUAAUUUAAAGGCAGACACUUUAUUUCAGAGUACCGCGACUGUUAUAAGGUGACGAUUAGCGGUGAACGUGAACCUUGGAGUUUCUUGGCCUUGGUCAUGAAUCAAAGAAUACCGAACUUAUAAGGUUGCUGGUGGCGUUAUGAGUUUCGGGAAUACUAAACCAUCAGAUACACUCGUAGAAAGCUUGUGUAAAUGUUUUUCGGACAGGGGUUCAAUUCCCCUCGCCUCCACCA
rnacentral:sRNA from 1 species